GACGAACGCUGGCGGCGUGCCUAAUACAUGCAAGUCGAGCGAGCGGAACUAACAGAUUUACUUCGGUAAUGACGUUAGGAAAGCGAGCGGCGGAUGGGUGAGUAACACGUGGGGAACCUGCCCCAUAGUCUGGGAUACCACUUGGAAACAGGUGCUAAUACCGGAUAAGAAAGCAGAUCGCAUGAUCAGCUUUUAAAAGGCGGCGUAAGCUGUCGCUAUGGGAUGGCCCCGCGGUGCAUUAGCUAGUUGGUAAGGUAAAGGCUUACCAAGGCGAUGAUGCAUAGCCGAGUUGAGAGACUGAUCGGCCACAUUGGGACUGAGACACGGCCCAAACUCCUACGGGAGGCAGCAGCAGGGAAUCUUCCACAAUGGACGCAAGUCUGAUGGAGCAACGCCGCGUGAGUGAAGAAGGUUUUCGGAUCGUAAAGCUCUGUUGUUGGUGAAGAAGGAUAGAGGUAGUAACUGGCCUUUAUUUGACGGUAAUCAACCAGAAAGUCACGGCUAACUACGUG
rnacentral:rRNA from 1 species